AACAAUGUCUCGGAUCGUCUGCUCGACAAAACUACAUUUACAGUCAUUCUAUUCAUUUAUCUAAUCGGCAUGACGGGAACAAUGGGCGGCAUCUGAGCUGUGAUUUGUAGACACAUUGUGUCAAAACAUCAAUCAUUCCAAAUCGUAAUAUUUUAUGGCAAGUGUGAUGAGAAGAAUAACGAUUACUCGCCCUUCUACACCUUGUAUGUGAACCCACCUGGAACAUUUUCAACUUAACUUUUGUGUUUAUAUUCAAUAAAAGGUCAAAGCAUGCUGCAUAUACCUGGGGUAUAUGAGCUCGGGUUUUUUCUUCAGGAAAAUGGGUUAAUGUUUAGUUGUUAGAUACAGAUACAACAAAUAAGAACAAAAAAGUGGACCGGCCGUACCGUCUGCGCCGCCCAUGUUGGCUCUCGUGGUUACGCCAAUGUGCACAUCUCCAUUGAGGCAGGUUUCUGGGACAGCCCUUAGCCAUCGACUUACAGCACACGUGACGUCUUAAGUGUGUGACUUUAUGGGAAGUUGUAUAUUAUAAUAGUCUAUUCACUUUACUUAGUGGUGACUGUCGCUCCGCUGAUGGGACGACACGACCUGGCUAGAACACUCGAUAUUUCCUUAACCAGACGCUAAAUACUCACAACAAUGACAAGUACGCUUUCUUGUGUUACAAUUGGAAUCUUCCUGUUCCAUUGUAUUCGCGUGACCGGUGCACGUCAGUGUUCCGCCAGCUACAGAGCAUCGGUGUAUGAACACGUAGUUCGCCUACCAUUGGAGAGUUUGUUUACGACGGUUUCUAGAAAACGUGCUCUACUUAACAUGAUGAAGAACCUCAAGGUUUACAAGAAACAGGCGGCUCUUGCUGCUGCUAAGAAGGCAAACAUCUUGGUAUUUCCCGAAGACGGGGUUUACGGCAUGUUGUUCACCAGGCAGACGAUCAAACCAUAUCUGGAAUACAUACCCGACCCCAACGACGUGUCGUGGAACCCAUGCUCCGAACCAGGGAGAUUUGAAAACAGCGACGUACAGCGCAUGCUCAGCUGCAUGGCCAAGAACAACCGGAUAUUCAUAGUGGCCAACAUAGGCGACCGUCAGCCAUGCGACGGGCCAGAUUGCCCGGAUGACGGACAGUACCAGUACAACACGGACGUGGUUUACGACGACUUUGGGAACUUCGUUGCCAGAUAUCAUAAAACACACCUCUUUGAAGAGUCUCAGUUUGAUACCCCAAACAACACAGAGUUCGUGACCUUUGAUACUCCUUUUGGUAAAUUCGGCGUGUUUACGUGUUACGACAUACUGUUUAAAAGCCCGGCGGUGGAUUUAGUGAAGGAAUAUGGUGUGAGGAAUUUCGUUUUUCCCACAGCAUGGGGAGACAAAUUACCUCAACUGUCUGCCAUAGGAUUUCAUUCGUCUUUCGCGCGAGGCAUGAAGGUCAAUCUAAUGUCAUCCAAUAUACACAUGCCGACAUUCCGGAUGUUGGGGAGUGGGAUUUUCACGCCAGAUGGAGCCGUUUCCUAUUACUAUGACGACGGUAUUUUCAGUAGCGGCAAGCUCCUAUUCGCUAAUAUUUGUUAUGAAUACGAAACAGUGGUUCAAAACAGAAUUGCUCUACCUGCUGCCCGCCAUGUUUAUCCAUUUGACGGCAGUAGAAUAAAAUAUAUUCAAAACAGCGCUUACUCGCCGGACGAUAUUCGUCCAUUUCCCUUUGAUAGUGCCAAUAAUACUGGAACAAAAAUGACAAAAUUCAGUCAUAAAAUUUUGAGUAAUUCACUGGAACCAGUUUUCAGAAACAUGGCACGAUACAGACACACAGUAACAGCUAGACGUUUGGCGUCACAAAAUCAAAUAAUCUCUAGGACGAAAUUUACGAGAAAUUUUCUCGGGCCAAUAGCGAACAAUCGAUUUCACUGGCUUCCCCUCAGUAGGACAUUCGGAACCCUGACAAGCUGUACGGGAAAGACGUGCUGUUACCUGCAAUAUUCGAAACGCAGGAAUUUUAACAGGAGGGAACUGUACGCGUUUGGAAUAUUUGACGGCUAUGAUGCGGAAAGAUACACGCAAAUCUGUUCUGUUGUCAAAUGCCAAACUCGUAGCUUGAACAGCUGUGGAAGUGCGACAAAAUGGGCACGUACCAAAUUUAAAUAUGUAAAUCUGAGAGGACAGUUUUCCAGCAGUUUUAUAUUCCCGGAGGUGAUCGCAGCAGACAGCCACGGUAUUGGAUUGGACGAUUCUGCAUGGGUGUAUAAACAUGAGUCCAUUAUUAUUAAGAAAGGGACGACGAAACCCGUACUUUGUAUGUCGUUGUUGGCGCGAGUGUACAGGCUGGAUAAGAACACAUAAUACAGUUUAGUAAGAGGUCUUACCUCAGGUGGAUCUAUAGUCCGUCCCACGGGGAACGCCUUAAUCAUACUAUGGAAUUUAGUACUGGUGUGACACUCCGGAGUGUCAUGGAGACAGAACGAAGUGCGUGCGUUCCCUCCAAGGCGUCAGAAAAUGGACCGAAUCGCAAUAAGAAAACUUUGGAAUGGAGAGACUUUUCAAGGUGGAA